rnacentral:lncRNA from 1 species
CUCGCUUUUGCAGAGGUCACUGCGCUGGGAAAGAAUUCAACACGGACUUGAAUUUCAUCUAGCUCUAGCAAAGCUUGGAUACGCAAUGAGAACUGACUACAGUGGCAGUUUCUCAGGCUCUCUGGGCACAGGAAGGGUGUGAUGCUGAGACCAACUACAGCCAUCUGAGGACCAGGCUCCUGGGUAGUAAGAG